rnacentral:rRNA from 1 species
AUUGAACGCUGGCGGCAGGCCUAACACAUGCAAGUCGAGCGAGCGGCGGACGGGUGAGUAAUGUCUGGGAAACUGCCUGAUGGAGGGGGAUAACUACUGGAAACGGUAGCUAAUACCGCAUACCAUCAGAUGUGCCAAGAUGGGAUUGGCUAGUAGGUGGGGUAACGGCUCACCUAGGCGACGAUCCCUAGCGGGUCGGAGAGGAUGACCAGCAACACUGGAACUGAGGAACGGUCCGGACUCCUAGGGGAGGCAGCAGUGGGAAUAUUGCACAAUGGGCUCAAGCCUGAUGCAGCCAUGCCGCGUGUGUGAAGAAGGCCUUCGGGUUGUAAAGCACUUUCAGCGGGGAGGCGUUACCCGCAGAAGAAGUACCGGCUAACUCCGUGCCAGCAGCCGCGGUAAUAC